rnacentral:rRNA from 1 species
GAACGACCCGCGAAUCGUCAUUGCGUACUAGACAGGGCCCGUGAGCACCUAACGCUCAUGGGGCUCGCGUCGCGUCGGCGCGGGUGUACUCGAGACCCGCGUCGUACCGGCGGACAAACAAUGUCAGCACGGAUCGUGCCAAGGAGCUUUAUGGAGAGAAUCGUCGUCCCACGCCUUCGAUAGUCCUCGAUGCGGGACGGGGGGCGGGGGAUGUAUGCAAUCUCUACUCAAGUCAAAACGACUCUCGGCAACGGAUAUCUCGGCUCUUGCAUCGAUGAAGAACGUAGCGAAAUGCGAUACUGGUGUGAAUUGCAGAAUCCCGCGAACCAUCAAAUCUUUGAACGCAAGUUGCGCCCGAAGCCAUUCGGCCGAGGGCACGCCUGCCUGGGUGUCGUGAAUCCCCUUGCCCCUAGGCACCCCGCACGAGCAUUGGCGGGGAUAUAUGCUCGGGCGCAGAAUGUGGUCUCCCGUGGGAUCGGCAUGCACGGCAUGUCGAGGUGCGGUUGGCCGAAAAUCGAGCAUGGCGGUGACGGGCACCACGGCGUUCGGUGGAUCGAAUGAGAUUGGCUCCGCCGUGGGCUCGGCAUGCGGCGGGCUCCGGACUUUGAAUCCCCCGAGUGCGAUCCCAGGUCAGGCGGGGCUUCCCGCUGAGUUUAAG